rnacentral:rRNA from 1 species
AGUGAACGCUGGCGGUAGGCCUAACACAUGCAAGUCGAACGGCAGCACAGUAAGAGCUUGCUCUUACGGGUGGCGAGUGGCGGACGGGUGAGGAAUACAUCGGAAUCUACUUUUUCGUGGGGGAUAACGUAGGGAAACUUACGCUAAUACCGCAUACAACCUACGGGUGAAAGCAGGGGAUCUUCGGACCUUGCGCGAUUGAAUGAGCUGAUGUCGGAUUAGCUAGUUGGCGGGGUAAAGGCCCACCAAGGCGACGAUCCGUAGCUGGUCUGAGAGGAUGAUCAGCCACACUGGAACUGAGACACGGUCCAGACUCCUACGGGAGGCAGCAGUGGGGAAUAUUGGACAAUGGGCGCAAGCCUGAUCCAGCCAUACCGCGUGGGUGAAGAAGGCCUUCGGGUUGUAAAGCCCUUUUGUUGGGAAAGAAAAGCAGCAGGUUAAUACCCCGCUGUUCUGACGGUACCCAAAGAAUAAGCACCGGCUAACUUCGUG